rnacentral:rRNA from 1 species
AACGAACGCUGGCGGCAUGCCUAACACAUGCAAGUCGGACGAGACCUUCGGGCCUAGUGGCGCACGGGUGCGUAACGCGUGGGAACCUGCCCUUAGGUUCGGAAUAACCCCCCGAAAGGGGUGCUAAUACCGGAUAAUGUCUUCGGACCAAAGAUUUAUCGCCUUUGGAUGGGCCCGCGUUGGAUUAGCUAGUUGGUAGGGUAAAAGCCUACCAAGGCGACGAUCCAUAGCUGGUCUGAGAGGAUGAUCAGCCACACUGGGACUGAGACACGGCCCAGACUCCUACGGGAGGCAGCAGUGGGGAAUAUUGGACAAUGGGCGAAAGCCUGAGCCAGCAAUGCCGCGUGAGUGAUGAAGGCCUUAGGGUUGUAAAGCUCUUUUACCCGGGAUGAUAAUGACAGUACCGGGAGAAUAAGCUCCGGCUAACUCCGUG